UAGUCUGGGAAACUGCCUGAUGGAGGGGGAUAACUGCUGGAAACGGUAGCUAAUACCGCAUAACGUCGCAAGACCAAAGAGGGGGACCUUCGGGCCUCAUGCCAUCAGAUGUGCCCAGAUGGGAUUAGCUAGUAGGUGGGGUAAUGGCUCACCUAGGCGACGAUCCCUAGCUGGUCUGAGAGGAUGACCAGCCACACUGGAACUGAGACACGGUCCAG
rnacentral:rRNA from 1 species